rnacentral:tRNA from 1 species
UGGAGGGGUUCCCGAGUGGCCAAAGGGGGCAGACUGUAAAUCUGUUGGCUCAGCCUUCGAAGGUUCGAAUCCUUCUCCCUCCAU